ACCCGGAGAUAGGGUCUAGCAGCUGGAAGAGCACCGCACGUCUUGCGAUGUCCGGUGUGCCCUCGACAGCGCUUGAAAAUCUAGAUGGUCAAGUACCGUUCAUGCCCGGUCGUACUCAUAACCGCAUCGGUCUCCAAGGCGAACAACCUCUGGUCAAUAGAACGAUGUAGGUAAGGGAAGUCGGCAAAACGGAUCCAUAACUUCAGGAAAAGGAUUGGCUUUGAGGGCUGGGCCUAGGGGUCUGCACCCUCAACUCAUAGGUUGUAGGCAUUCUGCCUGAGUUGCUCUCGCGGCGAGGGCGAACAGUUGCAUGCUGAUUGGGCUAUAGGCGUAGAAUGCCCCCUACCAGGGGCUUUUCCCUAGGCAAUGAAUAGUUGACUCAGAACUGAUACGGACAAGGGGAAUCCAACUAUUUAAUUAAAACAAAGUAUGCGAUGGUCCCUGCGAAUGUUGACACAAUGUGAUUUAUGCCCAGUGCUCUGAAUGUCAAAGUGAAGAAAUUCAACCAAGCGCGGGUAAACGGCGGGAGUAACUAUGACUCUCUUAAGGUAGCCAAAUGCCUCGUCAUCUAAUUAGUGACACGCAUGAAUGGAUUAACGAGAUUCCCAUUGUCCCUAUCUACUAUCUAGCAAAACCACAUCCAAGGGAACGGGCUUGGCAGAAUCAACGGAGAAAGAAGACCCUGUUGAGCUCGACUCUAGUCCUACUUUGUGAAAUGACUUGAGAGGUGUAGAAUAAGUGGGAGUCGUUUUCAGCGCAAGUGAAAUACCACUACUUUUAAUGUUAUUUUACUUAUUUCAUGGGGCGGAGAUGGGGCACUCCCCCUAUUUUUGGCCUUAAGGCAUGUUUCGAUAGGUUGAUCAAGGCGGAAAACAUUAUCAGGUGGGGAGUUUCGUUGGGGCGGCACAUCUAUUAAAAGAUAACAUAGGUGUUCUAAGAUGAGCUCAACGAGAACAGAAAUCUCGUGUGGAACAAAAGGGUAAAAGCUCAUUUGAUUUUGAUUUUCAGUAUGAAUACAAACUGUGAAAGCGUGGCCUAUCGAUCCUUUAGAUUUUCGGAAUUUGAAGCUAGAGGUGUCAGAAAAGUUACCACGGGGAUAAUUGACUUGUGCCAGCCAAGCACUCAUAGCGACAUUGCUUUUUUAUCCUUCAAUGUCAGCUCUUCCUAUCAUUGUGAAUCCACCAAGUGUUGGAUUGUUCACCCACAAUAGGGAACGUGAGCUAGGUUUAGACCAUCAUGAGACAAGUUAGUUUUACGGUUUACCCUACUGAUGAACCGCAUUGCAAUAGUAAUUCAACUUAGUACGAGAGCAACCGUUGAUUCACACAAUUGGUCAUCGUGCUUGGUUGAAAAGCCAGUGGCGCGAAGCUACCAUGUGUCGAAUUAUGACUGAAUGCCUCUAAGUCAUAAUCCACGCUAGAAGCGGUGCAUGUCACUCUUCAACUGUAUCUCGACCCGCAGUAGGGGCGUCGCUUUGUCACCCUCAAGGGCCCAUGUCAUUUGCAAAUCGCAAUCGUGAAGCAUCUCGGUCAGGGCAACUUUGAAGUUCAAUUCCAAACGGUCAUUGAGAAGAAUCCUUUGCAGACGACUUAAAUAUGCAACGGGGUAUUGUAAGUGGCAAAGUGGCCUUGCUGCCACGAUCCACUGAGAUUCAGCCUUUGGUCGCCUCGAUUUAGAGCUUAGCUCUUGU
rnacentral:rRNA from 1 species